rfam:Camelus ferus unplaced genomic scaffold scaffold56579, whole genome shotgun sequence.
GAGGGUAUAGCUUAGAGGCAAAGCAUAUGCUUAGCACGCACGAGGUCCUGGGUUUAAUCCCCAGUACCUCCA